rnacentral:rRNA from 1 species
ACGUAGGGGGCGAGCGUUGUCCGGAAUUACUGGGCGUAAAGAGCACGUAGGCGGGAACUUAAGUCAGGGGUGAAAGACCGGGGCUCAACUCCGGGGUGGCACUAGAAACUGGGUGUCUUGAGGGCAGGAGAGGAAAGCAGGAUUCCUAGGGUAGGGUUGAAAUCCUAAGAGCUCGGGAGGACUACCAGUGGCGAAGGCGGCUUACUGGAACGAACCUGACGGUGAGGAACGAAAGCCUGGGGCGCGAACCG